AAAAGGUCCUCAAACAUCAACGCCAAUGAAGAGAGGUGUUUGGCACGCAGACACCAUAUCAAGCAUUGGAUCAAGUGAUACAGACGAGCAAGCAGACAAGGCAACAUCGGAACUUGCAAAAGCAGACACAACAAAGCCUCAUGGAUUGGCUGAACUUGAAUGGAGCCUAACUGAGAUGAGCAUUGAUGAUGAACAACAUGUUGAUGAAGGAGCCAUCAAUGAUCUGAGAAAUAGCAUGUGAGUAUGAAUUUGGUAUUUUUCUUCAUUGUGGGGAAUUGUAACGUGUGCUAGUAAUUA